CUCAGUUUGAGAUGAUCAUUGAUUGGCACCAGCAGACAUCGCAUAAAACUUCCCCUAUCCAGUAGACAAACCAGCAAAAUGUAAUAUUGGCACAUAAGAAUCUUCAAUUUUGGUUGAGGACAUUGCAAGGUUGAGGACGCUCUGACUGGUUAACCUCUUCUUAUCCCAGACUGCUGAAGAUGGAAUAGUUUCCAGUCUCAGCAGCUUGAGCACAGAGAAGGCUACUCGGAUCAACUUUCUUCAUAACAUGCCAUAGCUUGCCUUGAUAGUCAACAGCCAAAUCCAGCAUCUGUGAAAUGGAUUUUUAAUCAACAGCCCUUAUCUUAGUAUAAAUAGGAUCAUAAAAAUCUUCAUCAUGCUCUAUCUAGAGGUUUCCGCCUCUGUUGUCGUCUAAAAAAUGAAUUUUUAAAGCUGGUCAUGGAUAAUACGUCGUCGUAAUAUCACACUAAUGAAUUAAUUCUGCAAUUUAUUUUUAGAUGUCUUUUUAUCACUGGUUCUUGAAUAUUUUUAAAUAAACUUUGAGUUUGUCCUUGCACCCUUAAACACGCAUUAAUACUUAAUUAUCUCCUUUUUUUCUUCUCCAAGUUAUAGUUCGUGGGUAGUUAGCUGGUGUUAAGAAUAUUUAUUUUAAUGCUUAUUAGAUGUGUUCAAAGGCACAUUUGUCGAAAGAUUCCAUAAACUAGAAUUAUAUUUCUUCAGUAAGAUUACUUAUCUUUUUAAUGAAGAAAAUUAUUUGUGGUUCGCAUUACUGAACAAACAAUCGAAGAAAAUUCUUGAAAAGAUACAUGAAAUAAUUGAAAGUAACAAAUCAAUAAUUGGUUCUUGAUAAUUACUUUCCUCUACACACCAACAAAUUUCUCUCUCUAGUUUCAAUCACUAGAUUAAUGCUAAACAAGCUGAUUUGACGUUUGACGUUUGAAACAGGACAACACCAUCGCGUUUAAGACAAUUCCUGCCACAAACAAAAUUGUAUGGUGACUCGUGACUAAAGAUAUGGGUAAUAAAUUCUUUUUCUAAGAAAAGGUAAAGAAAAUCUUCGUCAAUGAUGGCUAGUUUACUAGAAAGAUAAGAUCAACAUAAAAGGAUACUAUUUGGAUCCAUGCACUUCCAUUUUUAGAAAAUCCGAAUCUAUCUCUAAUUAUGUUUAGUGGUAACAGAACACAUAAGUUAAAAGAUUUAUUUUUUAAAAAUAAAAAAAGAUAUAUGAAACAAUUUUAAAAUGAAUUUCAGACAUGAAACUUGUCUUUUUUAUUUUUAAUAUCUUCAUCUCGACGGUAACCAAGCACUAGCGAAUGUUUCCCUCGAGCUAUGUUAUCUAGUAAAUGACAAAGGAAUUGUAAGGUUAUCUUGGUUGCUUGGUGAAGAAUGAGUCCCCCGUCCACUUCGUGAUUGAAGACUAGGAACCCUAGUGGUGGUGGAGAAAAGGAGUAAACACACUUCACCUGGACCUUCCCUUCUCACAAGGGAAUAUAGUGGGACAAAAGAGCAAAGAUAAAUCAGGAACAUAUUAGGAAAGAACACACUGCAUUCUGUAGCGCUGACCCAAACAAGACAAAGCAAGGUGGGUGGUGGAGCUUGAUCAAUCCCAUUGAGCCUUAAAUUAGAUCACAAAUUCUUCAAUCAAUGGCGUCAAUAGAAGGAGAGUAGUCCCCACCUGCUUCCAACUUAUAUGAAAUGAUGCAAUCAUUAAUGGCACCAUUAGCUCCACUCUUUAUUACAAGACAAAAACCAGUAAAGUGCUAAUAAUCUUCUUCUUAGCAAGACAAGAAACGAGGGGAAUUUAUAAAAAGCA